rnacentral:rRNA from 1 species
CGGGGGGCAGCAGUGGGGAAUAUUGGGCAAUGGAGGAAACUCUGACCCAGCGACGCCGCGUGCGGGAUGAAGGCCUUCGGGUUGUAAACCGCUUUCAGCAGGGAAGAAGCGAAAGUGACGGUACCUGCAGAAGAAGCACCGGCUAACUAUGUGCCAGCAGCCGCGGUAAUACAUAGGGUGCAAGCGUUGUCCGGAAUUAUUGGGCGUAAAGAGCUCGUAGGUGGUUCGUCACGUCGGAUGUGAAAAUCUGGGGCUUAACCCCAGACCUGCAUUCGAUACGGGCGAGCUUGAGUAUGGUAGGGGAGUCUGGAAUUCCUGGUGUAGCGGUGGAAUGCGCAGAUAUCAGGAGGAACACCAAUGGCGAAGGCAGGACUCUGGGCCAUUACUGACACUGAGGAGCGAAAGCGUGGGGAGCGAACAGGAUUAGAUACCCCGGU